rnacentral:rRNA from 1 species
GUAGGUGGCAAGCGUUGUCCGGAAUUAUUGGGCGUAAAGCGCGCGCAGGCGGUUCUUUAAGUCUGAUGUGAAAGCCCACGGCUCAACCGUGGAGGGUCAUUGGAAACUGGAGAACUUGAGUACAGAAGAGGAAAGCGGAAUUCCACGUGUAGCGGUGAAAUGCGUAGAGAUGUGGAGGAACACCAGUGGCGAAGGCGGCUUUCUGGUCUGUAACUGACGCUGAGGCGCGAAAGCGUGGGGAGCAAACAGGAUUAGAUACCCUGGUAGUCCACGCCGUAAACGAUGAGUGCUAAGUGUUAGGGGGUUCCCGCCCCCCUUAGUGCUGCAGCUAACGCAUUAAGCACUCCGCCUGGGAGUACGGCCGCAAGGCUG